rnacentral:rRNA from 1 species
AUUGAACGCUGGCGGUAUGCUUUACACAUGCAAGUCGAACGGCAGCACGGGCUUCGGCCUGGUGGCGAGUGGCGAACGGGUGAGUAAUAUAUCGGAACGUACCCAGAAGUGGGGGAUAACGUAGCGAAAGUUACGCUAAUACCGCAUACGAUCUAUGGAUGAAAGCAGGGGACCGCAAGGCCUUGUGCUCCCGGAGCGGCCGAUAUCUGAUUAGCUAGUUGGUGAGGUAAAGGCUCACCAAGGCGACGAUCAGUAGCUGGUCUGAGAGGACGACCAGCCACACUGGAACUGAGACACGGUCCAGACUCCUACGGGAGGCAGCAGUGGGGAAUUUUGGACAAUGGGCGCAAGCCUGAUCCAGCAAUGCCGCGUGAGUGAAGAAGGCCUUCGGGUUGUAAAGCUCUUUUGUCAGGGAAGAAACGGUAGAGGCUAAUAUCCUUUGCUAAUGACGGUACCUGAAGAAUAAGCACCGGCUAACUACGUG